UACUUGGAGUACCGUGCAGCCGUAUCUGGGUUGUACAUGCCCUAAUAUGUUCAUUUAUUUAUUCAUGCAUGCACGCGCACAAUAUAAUGAACCAACAAGGUAGUAGAGCAGCAGCAGCUAGGUACUCUUAUAUAUAUGUAGGUAUCAUGUCUUUUUGGCAAAGCUGCUGAUGCUGGGAACCACGGUGGAUGGAUCACGGGCACUUGUGCUGGCCGUCGUGGGUCUUCAUGUUGGCGUAGCA
rnacentral:lncRNA from 1 species